GACGAACGCUGGCGGCGUGCUUAACACAUGCAAGUCGAACGAUGAAACCUAGCUUGCUAGGUCGAUUAGUGGCGGACGGGUGAGUAACACGUGGGUAACCUGCCCAUAAGACUGGGAUAACUCCGGGAAACCGGGGCUAAUACCGGAUAAUAUUUUGAACUGCAUGGUUCAAAAUUGAAAGGCGGCUUCGGCUGUCACUUAUGGAUGGAACCGCGUCGCAUUAGCUAGUUGGUGAGGUAACGGCUCACCAAGGCAACGAUGCGUAGCCGACCUGAGAGGGUGAUCGGCCACACUGGGACUGAGACACGGCCCAGACUCCUACGGGAGGCAGCAGUAGGGAAUCUUCCGCAAUGGACGAAAGUCUGACGGAGCAACGCCGCGUGAGUGAUGAAGGCUUUCGGGUCGUAAAACUCUGUUGUUAGGGAAGAACAAGUGCUAGUUGAAUAAGCUGGCACCUUGACGGUACCUAACCAGAAAGCCACGGCUAACUACGUGCCAGCCGCCGCUGUAA
rnacentral:rRNA from 1 species